rnacentral:lncRNA from 1 species
AAAAUAUCAAUAUCAAACAAGAUCUAAGAUUCUUUGUUUUUAACAAUGCCAAAUAAAAUGUUGUCGUUUAACGACCCAGCCUACUAACAACAAUAACUCGUUGGGGCCAAAUACCGGUCCAAAAUACUUAAACUCAGUUAUUAUUACUAUCCAAACCUGUCACGCCCCGCCCCGAAUCCACUACUAAUUUGGCACGGUUCGGGCGCGCCGGACGAACCGCCGAACGGACAGCACCUCUCCUGUCCGCCCAAGGCCAAGCAACCAGAUCAUGUACAGUUAAGCGCCCAGGGAAUGCUUAAAUAACAUACAUGAUCGAUACGAUGCACACAAGUGCACUAUAACUAAGAGCAAGAACCACAAGUGAAUGUACAAGUGUAUAAAGAGAGAUAGUCUAACUAUUACAACCAUUCAACAUUUACAUCAUUUGAAUAUAUUACAUUUCCGUCUUCCAAACUGUAAAUACAUGUUUUUCUCAAAAUACAAGUAGCUCGCCAAUAACUAUCCAAAACAUCAUCUAGUACACGAGGGUACUCUAAUGCAUAAAGGAAAAGCUACUAAUUAGGCUCACUUAGGGCACUAUGCCCUUGCUGCGGUCCUCGCUCGGCUCACCUCUAUGUGUACCUGUACCUCAAAACCACAUGGGGUGAGAACUAUAUAAAUAUAGUUCCCAGUGGGUUCGGCCGCCGACACCGCCGGUUUUCCCACUAGGUCUAAGCUGGCACAUAUAGAGAGAUAGAUAGAUAUAUAAAAAUGAACUGCAACUAUUCUAUCAUGCCAUCAAUAAUGAUAAUACAUGCAACAACUACUAUCAUGCUAAAAUCAUGUCAUGAGUAUAUAAAAGUACAUAGCAAUGCAAUUUACAACAUACACUAUGUCUACUCGAGGUAAUAAUGCAAGUCUACUAUGUAUCUCAUGUUUAUUACCCAAUCUACUUGGUUAACCCGUAGGUUAAACCUUCGACUCACUCUC